GGGGAUGAUGGGACUCGACGAGGAAAACGCACUUUUACAAAUGGUUAGGGCGGACCUGUCCGUUAAACGGAAAAACAUAAUUGCUAAAGAACAAUCUGAAGCAGCUGAAGCAGCCGCAUACAGAUUUGCACAACCUGCAUUUCUUUAUGCUUAAUGCCUAAGCCUCUGUCUAAGUUUCCCUUGAUUCAACUUAGAUGUGAGAUUAACCAAUCAAGGUGAGACAAAAUUCGUGUUUACGAUUGACGAAUGAGUCAAACAACCAUCAAUCGUUGUCCAAAUGACAUUUGGUUAUUUGGUCUUUGGAUUUCAAUAUAAAUAAUCUAUCCCUAACUAAACAUUUGUCUUAGUGCUUCUUCGGACCCGGGUUCAACUCCCGGCAUCUCCACCA
rnacentral:tmRNA from 1 species